rnacentral:rRNA from 1 species
UACGUAGGGGGCUAGCGUUGUCCGGAAUUAUUGGGCGUAAAGAGCGUGUAGGCGGCUCGAUAAGUCCGCUGUGAAAGUCGAGGGCUCAACCCUCGAAUGCCGGCGGAUACUGUCGAGCUAGAGUCCGGAAGAGGCGAGUGGAACUCCUGGUGUAGCGGUGAAAUGCGCAGAUAUCAGGAAGAACACCAAUGGCGAAGGCAGCUCGCUGGGACGGUACUGACGCUGAGACGCGAAAGCGUGGGGAGCGAACAGGAUUAGAUACCCUGGUAGUCCACGCCGUAAACGAUGGGCACUAGGUGUGAGGGGUGUCGACUCCCCUCGUGCCGAAGCUAACGCAUUAAGUGCCCCGCCUGGGGAGUACGGCCGCAAGGCUAAA